AGGGGGAAAAUUAAUAAAUUAAAUUUAAUAAAAAAAUUUUUAAUAUUAAAAAGAAAAUGGGGGUUUGAGUAUUUUUAAUAGAAAAAAUUAAUAGUUUUAUAGUUAAAUAUUACUGUAAAGGAAUUUAUAAAUAAAUGAAAUAUAAUUAAUGAAAAAGUAAAUUUAAAUUAUUGUAUCUUGUGUAUCAGAGUUUAUUAAAUAAUAAUAAUUUAUUUAAAUAAAUCUCGAAUUUAAAAGAGUUAAUUAAUUAAAAAAGUUAAUGUUGUAUAAUUAUUUUAAAUAAUUAAUUAGAAAUGAAAUGUUAAUCGUUUUUAAAUAUAUCUAGUUUUUUCAGAAAAAAAUUUAAUUUUAAAUUUAAAUAAUUUUAUAAUUAUUUAAUUAAUUAUAAAAAUUUAAAUUUUAAUAUUUUAGGGGAUAAGCUUUAAAUUAAAAAUUUAUAAUUAAAAAUAUUUAAAAUUAAAAUUUUUAAAAUUUAUAUUGUUUAAAAAUUAUAGUUUAUUAUAAAAAAUUUUAUUAAAAAAUAAAAUUUAAAAUAAAAAAAUUUAAAUUUUUAUGAAAAAAUAAUUUAUAAUUUAGUAAAAUUAAAAAUAAUGAUAAAAUUAGUAUAAUAUAAUAAAUUAAAAAAAAAAUUAUAGGUAAUUAAAUUAAAGGAAUUCGGCAAAAAUUUAUAUUCACUUGUUUAUCAAAAACAUGUCUUUUUGAUAAUAAUUUAAAGUCUAAUCUGCCCACUGAUAUUAUAUUAAAGGGCUGCAGUAUAUUGACUGUACAAAGGUAGCAUAAUCAUUAGUCUUUUAAUUGAAGACUUGUAUGAAAGAUUUGAUGAAAUAUAAACUGUCUCUAAUUUAUGAUUAGAAAUUAAUUUUUUAGUUAAAAAGCUAAAAUAACAUUAAAAGACGAGAAGACCCUAUAGAGUUUUAUAUUUUAUUUAAUUAAUAUUAAAUAUAUAAUUAAAUAUAUUAAUUAAGUGAAAUAUUAUGUUGGGGUGAUAGAAAAAUUUAAUAAACUUUUUUUAAAUUUUAACAUAAAUAAGUGGUUAGUUGAUCCAUUAAUAAUGAUUAAAAGAAAAAAUUACCUUAGGGAUAACAGCGUAAUAUUUUUUUUUAGUACAUAUAAAAAAAAAAGUUUGCGACCUCGAUGUUGGAUUAAGAUAAAAUUUAAAUGCAAAAGUUUAAAAUUUUGAUCUGUUCGAUCAUUAAAAUCUUACAUGAUCUGAGUUCAAACCGGUGUAAGCCAGGUUGGUUUCUAUCUUUAAUAAAAAAAAAAUAUUUUAGUACGAAAGGAUCAAAUAUUUAAAAUAAUUUUAUAAUAAUGAAUAUUAAUAAUAUAGUUUA
rnacentral:rRNA from 1 species